UCGUAACAAGGUUUCCGUAGGUGAACCUGCGGAAGGAUCAUUAGUGAUUGCCAUCUUGGCUUAAACUAUAUCCAUCUACACCUGUGAACCGUUUGAUUGAAUCUCUGAUUCAAUUUUACAAACAUUGUGUAAUGAACGUCAUUAGAUCAUAACUAAAAAAAACUUUUAACAACGGAUCUCUUGGCUCUCGCAUCGAUGAAGAACGCAGCGAAAUGCGAUAAGUAAUGUGAAUUGCAGAAUUCAGUGAAUCAUCGAAUCUUUGAACGCAACUUGCGCUCUCUGGUAUUCCGGAGAGCAUGCCUGUUUGAGUGUCAUGAAAUCUCAACCAUUAGGGUUUCUUAAUGGCUUGGAUUUGGAGGUUGCCAUUCUGAAUGGCUCCUCUCAAAAGAGUUAGCGAGUUUAACUAUUGCUAUCUGGCGUAAUAAGUUUCGCUGGAAUGGUAUUGUGAAGCGCGCUUCUAAUCGUCUUCGGACAAUUACUUUGACUCUGGCCUCAAAUCAGGUAGGACUACCCGCUGAACUUAAGCAUAUCAAUAAGCGGAGGAAAAGAAACUAACAAGGAUUCCCUUAGUAACGGCGAGUGAACCGGGAAGAGCUCAAAUUUGAAAUCUGGCUGUCUUCGAUAGUC
rnacentral:misc_RNA from 1 species